AGAAUUUGCACGGGCGGCGUUUCUUCGCGCGCCUUCCGCGGGGAAGGGAAUUCUCGCGCGAGGCUCGCCGCCCUUCUUCUGACGUCUCACUGCUUGCAGCUGGACAGAAAUCUUACUCUGAAGAGUCUUCAGAAAUUGUGAUUCUCCCAUUAUUUAUUCUGCAUUCAGAAUUGCAGGACAGAAUUCUAUAAACCAGUCCCACAUACUUUUCACAACCAGCAUGUAAGUUAUGCUCCACAGCUGCUUCCAUCCUGUUUCAUUGAACGGGAUGGCAUGGAAAAU